rnacentral:rRNA from 1 species
GUUAUAUGGUCAAGCGAAUAAGCGCACACGGUGGAUGCCUUGGCGGUCAGAGGCGAUGAAGGACGUGGCAGCCUGCGAAAAGUAUCGGGGAGCUGGCAACAAGCUUUGAUCCGGUAAUGUCCGAAUGGGGAAACCCACCCGCUUGCGGGUAUCCUGCAGUGAAUACAUAGCUGCUGGAAGCGAACCUGGUGAACUGAAAUAUCUAAGUAACCAGAGGAAAAGAAAUCAACCGAGAUUCCGUAAGUAGCGACGAGCGAACGCGGACUAGCCCUUAAGCUGAUUUGGUUCUAGGAAAACGCUCUGGAAAGAGCGGCCAUAGAAGGUGAUAGCCCUGUAUCUGAAAGGGCCAUUUCAGUGAAGACGAGUAGGGCGGGGCACGUGAAACCCUGUCUGAACAUGGGGGGACCAUCCUCCAAGGCUAAAUACUACUGACCGACCGAUAGUGAACCAGUACCGUGAGGGAAAGGCGAAAAGAACCCCGGAGAGGGGAGUGAAAUAGAACCUGAAACCGUGUGCGUACAAGCAGUAGGAGCUCCGCAAGGAGUGACUGCGUACCUUUUGUAUAAUGGGUCAGCGACUUACUGUUCGUGGCAAGCUUAACCGUAUAGGGGAGGCGAAGGGAAACCGAGUCUGAUAAGGGCGCAUAGUCGCGGGCAGUAGACCCGAAACCGGGUGAUCUAGUCAUGCCCAGGGUGAAGGUGCGGUAACACGCACUGGAGGCCCGAACCCACUCCCGUUGCAAAGGUAGGGGAUGAGGUGUGAUUAGGAGUGAAAAGCUAAUCGAACCCGGAGAUAGCUGGUUCUCCUCGAAAGCUAUUUAGGUAGCGCCUCAUAUGUAUCCUCUCGGGGGUAGAGCACUGUUAUGGCUAGGGGGUCAUCGCGACUUACCAAACCAUUGCAAACUCCGAAUACCGAGACGGACUGUAUGGGAGACACACGGCGGGUGCUAACGUCCGUCGUGAAAAGGGAAACAACCCAGACCCACAGCUAAGGUCCCAAAUUCAGUGCUAAGUGGAAAACCAUGUGGAAAGGCACAGACAGCCAGGAGGUUGGCUUAGAAGCAGCCACCCUUUAAAGAAAGCGUAAUAGCUCACUGGUCGAGUCGGUCUGCGGGGAAGAUUUAACGGGGCUAAGCACUGAACCGAAGCUUGGGGUGCAUACUUUGUAUGCGCGGUAGAGGAGCGUUCCGUAAGCCUGCGAAGGUGGAUUGAGAAGUCCGCUGGAGGUAUCGGAAGUGCGAAUGCUGACAUGAGUAACGAUAAUGCGGGUGAAAAACCCGCACGCCGAAAGCCCAAGGUUUCCUUGCGCAACGUUAAUCGGCGCAGGGUGAGUCGGCCCCUAAGGCGAGGACGAAAGUCGUAGUCGAUGGGAAGCAGGUUAAUAUUCCUGCACCUCGCGUAAGUGCGAUGGAGGGACGGAGAAGGUUAGGUGUACCAGGCGUUGGUUGUCCUGGGGAAAGGCGGUAGGUUUGGAUCUUUGGCAAAUCCGGGAUCCUCUAAGACCGAGCACCGAGACGAGCCUUUAUGGCGAAGUCACUGAUACCACGCUUCCAGGAAAAGCUCCUAAGCUUCAGCUUACGCAGACCGUACCGUAAACCGACACAGGUGGGUAGGAUGAGAAUUCUCAGGCGCUUGAGAGAACUCGGGUGAAGGAACUAGGCAACAUGGCACCGUAACUUCGGGAGAAGGUGCACCCUUUUUGGUGGCUCGUGCGAGCUAUAGCUGAAGAGGGUCGCAGUAACCAGGCCGCUGCGACUGUUUAUCAAAAACACAGCACUCUGCAAACACGAAAGUGGACGUAUAGGGUGUGACGCCUGCCCGGUGCUGGAAGGUUAAUUGAUGGGGUCAGCCGCAAGGCGAAGCUCUUGAUCGAAGCCCCAGUAAACGGCGGCCGUAACUAUAACGGUCCUAAGGUAGCGAAAUUCCUUGUCGGGUAAGUUCCGACCUGCACGAAUGGCGUAACGACAGCGGCGCUGUCUCCACCCGAGACUCAGUGAAAUUGAAAUCGCUGUGAAGAUGCAGCGUUCCCGUGGCAAGACGGAAAGACCCCGUGAACCUUUACUAUAGCUUUACACUGAACGUUGAGUUCGUCUGUGUAGGAUAGGUGGGAGGCUAUGAAACCAUGGCGCUAGCUGUGGCGGAGCCAUCCUUGAAAUACCACCCUGUCGUGCUUGACGUUCUAACCUGGGCCCAUUAUCUGGGUCGGGGACCGUGUAUGGUGGGUAGUUUGACUGGGGCGGUCUCCUCCUAAAGAGUAACGGAGGAGCUCGAAGGUACGCUCAGCGCGGUCGGACAUCGCGCACUGUGUGCAAAGGCAUAAGCGUGCUUGACUGCAAGAUCGACGGAUCAAGCAGGUAGGAAACUAGGACUUAGUGAUCCGGUGGUUCUGUAUGGAAGGGCCAUCGCUCAACGGAUAAAAGGUACUCCGGGGAUAACAGGCUGAUACCGCCCAAGAGUUCAUAUCGACGGCGGUGUUUGGCACCUCGAUGUCGGCUCAUCACAUCCUGGGGCUGUAGUCGGUCCCAAGGGUAUGGCUGUUCGCCAUUUAAAGUGGUACGCGAGCUGGGUUCAGAACGUCGUGAGACAGUUCGGUCCCUAUCUGCCAUGGGCGUUGGAGAUUUGAGAGGGGCUGCUCCUAGUACGAGAGGACCGGAGUGGACGAACCUCUGGUGUUCCGGUUGUCACGCCAGUGGCAUUGCCGGGUAGCUAUGUUCGGAAGCGAUAACCGCUGAAAGCAUCUAAGCGGGAAGCGCGCCUCAAGAUGAGAUCUCCCGGGGCACAAGCCCCCUGAAGGAACCAUGUAGACUACGUGGUUGAUAGGUCAGGUGUGUAAGUACAGCAAUGUAUUGAGCUAACUGAUACUAAUGAUCCGUGCGGCUUGACCAUAUAACCU